UACGGGGGGAGCAAGCGUUGUUCGGAUUUACUGGGCGUAAAGGGCGCGUAGGCGGCCACCGCAAGUCGAUUGUGAAAUCUCCGGGCUUAACUCGGAAAGGUCAACCGAUACUGCGGGGCUAGAGUGCAGAAGGGGCAACUGGAAUUCUUGGUGUAGCGGUGAAAUGCGUAGAUAUCAAGAGGAACACCUGAGGUGAAGACGGGUUGCUGGGCUGACACUGACGCUGAGGCGCGAAAGCUAGGGUAGCAAACGGG
rnacentral:rRNA from 1 species